AGAGUUCGAUCAUGGCUCAGGAUGAACGCUGGCGGCGUGCUUAACACAUGCAAGUCGAACGAACCUUCGGGUUAGUGGCGGACGGGUGAGUAACGCGUGGGAAUCUGCCCUCAGGAGGGGGAUAACGGCUGGAAACGGCCGCUAAUACCCCAUAUGCCGAGAGGUGAAAUGAAUUUCGCCUGAGGAUGAGCCCGUGUCUGAUUAGCUAGUUGGUGAGGUAAGAGCUCACCAAGGCAUCGAUCAGUAGCUGGUCUGAGAGGAUGAUCAGCCACACUGGGACUGAGACACGGCCCAGACUCCUACGGGAGGCAGCAGUGGGGAAUUUUCCGCAAUGGGCGAAAGCCUGACGGAGCAACGCCGCGUGAGGGAUGAAGGCCUCUGGGCUGUAAACCUCUUUUCUCAAGGAAGAAGAUCUGACGGUACUUGAGGAAUAAGCCACGGCUAAUUCCGUGCCAGCAGCCGCGGUAAUAC
rnacentral:rRNA from 1 species